rnacentral:rRNA from 1 species
GAUGAACGCUGGCGGCGUGCCUAAUACAUGCAAGUCGAGCGAACGGACGAGAAGCUUGCUUCUCUGAUGUUAGCGGCGGACGGGUGAGUAACACGUGGAUAACCUACCUAUAAGACUGGGAUAACUUCGGGGAAACCGGAGCUAAUACCGGAUAAUAUUUUGAACCGCAUGGUUCAAAAGUGAAAGACGGUCUUGCUGUCACUUAUAGAUGGAUCCGCGCUGCAUUAGCUAGUUGGUAAGUUAACGGCUUACCAAGGCAACGAUGCAUAGCCGACCUGAGAGGGUGAUCGGCCACACUGGAACUGAGACACGGUCCAGACUCCUACGGGAGGCAGCAGUAGGGAAUCUUCCGCAAAGGGCGAAAGCCUGACGGAGCAACGCCGCGUGAGUGAUGAAGGUCUUCGGAUCGUAAAACUCUGUUAUUAGGGAAGAACAUAUGUGUAAGUAACUGUGCACAUCUUGACGGUACCUAAUCAGAAAGCCACGGCUAACUACGUG